rnacentral:rRNA from 1 species
UAGCUACAGGCUUAACACAUGCAAGUCGAGGGGCAGCAUGGUCUUAGCUUGCUAAGGUCGAUGGCGACCGGCGCACGGGUGAGUAACGCGUAUCCAACCUGCCUUACACUCUUGGACAGCCUUCUGAAAGGGAGAUUAAUACAAGAUGUUAUCAUGAGUAAGCAUUUUCGCAUGAUUAAAGGUUUACCGGUGUAAGAUGGGGAUGCGUUCCAUUAGAUAGUAGGCGGGGUAACGGCCCACCUAGUCUUCGAUGGAUAGGGGUUCUGAGAGGAAGGUCCCCCACAUUGGAACUGAGACACGGUCCAAACUCCUACGGGAGGCAGCAGUGAGGAAUAUUGGUCAAUGGACGAGAGUCUGAACCAGCCAAGUAGCGUGAAGGAUGAAGGUUCUAUGGAUUGUAAACUUCUUUUAUACGGGAAUAAACGAAUCCACGUGUGGAUUUUUGCAUGUACCGUAUGAAUAAGGAUCGGCUAACUCCGUGCCAGCAGCCGCGGUAAUACGGAGGAUCCGAGCGUUAUCCGGAUUUAUUGGGUUUAAAGGGAGCGUAGAUGGGUUGUUAAGUCAGUUGUGAAAGUUUGCGGCUCAACCGUAAAAUUGCAAUUGAUACUGGCAGUCUUGAGUACAGUUGAGGUAGGCGGAAUUCGUGGUGUAGCGGUGAAAUGCUUAGAUAUCACGAAGAACUCCGAUUGCGAAGGCAGCUUACUAACCUGUAACUGACAUUGAUGCUCGAAAGUGUGGGUAUCAAACAGGAUUAGAUACCCUGGUAGUCCACACGGUAAACGAUGAAUACUCGCUGUAGGCGAUAUACAGUCUGCGGCCAAGCGAAAGCAUUAAGUAUUCCACCUGGGGAGUACGCCGGCAACGGUGAAACUCAAAGGAAUUGACGGGGGCCCGCACAAGCGGAGGAACAUGUGGUUUAAUUCGAUGAUACGCGAGGAACCUUACCCGGGCUUAAAUUGCAACCGAAUAUGGCGGAAACGCUAUAGCUAGCAAUAGCGGUUGUGAAGGUGCUGCAUGGUUGUCGUCAGCUCGUGCCGUGAGGUGUCGGCUUAAGUGCCAUAACGAGCGCAACCCUUGCCGAUAGUUACUAACAGGUCAUGCUGAGGACUCUGUCGGGACUGCCAUCGUAAGAUGUGAGGAAGGUGGGGAUGACGUCAAAUCAGCACGGCCCUUACGUCCGGGGCUACACACGUGUUACAAUGGGGGGUACAGAGGGCUGCUACCACGCAAGUGGAUGCCAAUCCCAAAAACCUCUCUCAGUUCGGAUUGAAGUCUGCAACCCGACUUCAUGAAGCUGGAUUCGCUAGUAAUCGCGCAUCAGCCACGGCGCGGUGAAUACGUUCCCGGGCCUUGUACACACCGCCCGUCAAGCCAUGGGAGCCGGGGGUACCUGAAGUGCGUAACCGCAAGGAGCGCCCUAGGGUAAAACUGGUGACUGGGGCUAAGUAG